UUAGUUUGCUUCUUCAAGGGCAUGGCCUUCAAGUUUAGCAGGUGAAGCAUCCAUAAUGUUUUACAUUUCUUAAGAUUUGUAAAUCAAGCUCUAAACAAGCCCCUCAGAUAUGCCCAAGUUCAAUGACUUGUCCAGAAAUCCAGGGGAAGGGGCUGGGCCCAUCGCAAUGCCUUGUGAAAGCCAGCAUGAUACUUCUGAAGGAGUCAUGAUUAAAGUGUCCCACCCAAAGCAUUAACACUUGAAUUCCUUAAGAUUAAUAUUCUUUGCAGGGUGUCCUGUUUUCUGGUAAGAAUGACAAAUGGAAGCACUACACUCAAGAUCACUUUCGUUUUUUUUCAGAGGGAGACUCUAGCCAUGAAAGGAUGGAAAGUACCAGCCAGGAUGACGGCAGAGUACAGGUUUUCUGCCUAUGUUCCACUACAGUCCAGUUUCAUAUAGGAUGAGAGCAUAUACAGAGCACUUGCAAUGACAUCAGGUACUGUUUGCAUUCCAGCACCCACACAAGAGUAACAUCUCCCCAAUUAACACGGCGGUGUUUCUGCGUGUUGCUUAACUUCAGUGAACUUGGUGUCAAGCCAACCGGAGGCAUCUAUCAAAUAACAGCCAGGGGCACUGGUUUUUUCAACUGUUUUCAAAUUCUCUGCAGCAAUAAUUCAAAUGGAAUUUUUAAUAAACAAUCUUGUGAUAGAUGAAGGGAAUGGAAAGAGGUGGGAGGAAGGGAAGGGAGAAGAGUGACUAUUGUCAGAGGAGCCCAAAGAGAACCUGAGACUCACCACACCUAUAGCCGUCACCUGUGCUGGGAUUUGGCUUUUUAAAGGAUAUGGAAAUAUGGUUUUGGCUCAAACUACAAGUUCAAUAUUUAAAAAUUAAUUUUAUGUUGAUUCUUCUACAGCUCCAAGCACAUCAAGUUUGGGUGACCUAAGCUUGUAGGGUCGUAUGGGAUCACCUUCUGAAAAGAACAUUCUGGUAACGUGUCUUGCUUGCUCAAGAAUUUUCAUUGGUUCCUUGAUCUUGCCACAUCUUUGAAGUAACAAGGAAAACAGAUUUGUUUUUACUGCUUUUCACCUAUAGAUAACCCUUGCAUGCAGUUGGAAAUUGUUGUACACAUCAUCAUCCAUAAGCACACUGCUUCCUAUAGGUAGAAUUGCAUUUUGAAUCCCACUGAAACUAGGUUGAGUGCUCAAUUCACACAUUUUGAAACUAGAUACUUCUCUGUUGGCUGUCAAAUUCUCCCAUUUUCGUAUCUAAAAAUUGAGGUGAGCCUUAUCAUUCGUAUUUGAAAAUUGUUAUAGAAAAUAAAGACUUCAUCAUAUGAAAAUUGAGUUUUCCAGUAUCCAUACAGUGAGAGGAGGAAAAAAAUAAUACAACUAAGUGAAGACAGAAGAACUUCUGUUUCCCAGUGUGGAAAACACCAAUGAUGGGAGAUGGAGGAAAACACACUGUCCAACUGCAAAGUGUUGUGGAAUGUGCUUUCUCAGACUUAUCUUGUAUUGUGAUAAUUAGAGGUGCGUGUAAAACUGUUGAGAAUGAUUUAGAUGUGAAUGAGGAUGAAGGAUAAAAUUUAAUCAAUUUGA